UAAAUAGUAUUACUUUCUUCUUUAUUUCAUUUCAAUACCUUUAAUUUAGAGUACAAAAUUCAUUACAAUAAUGUCUACAAUAAAUAAUUGUAGCAGACAUAUUAACAAAAUUACAGGUCGUGGAAUUUUAUACCAAAAACUUAUGGUCACAUUACUCAAGCACAACCACAAGUGGUAUCAUAGUAAUGACGGAAAAUUUCCACAUAAUUACACGUUGGUCUAAGAGGUAACUGACAAAAAUAUUUUCGACAAUCAAAACUUGUUCGGCAUUCAUUAUGCUCCGCUGUAAUGAAAAGAUAAAAUAAAACGGUAUAAUUAAAUUAGAUAAUUGACCAAAAAAAAAAUAGAUAAAACAUUAUGUACUGCAGUAAGUAACAAGAGAAAUUUGAAAAGGAUAGAAAACGGCUUACGGAAAAUACUCAAUGCACCAAGAAACAAGGUAAGAAAGAUAAGCAUAACAUUAAUUAACUUGGUAACUGCAACCAUAUUUUCUCCCCUUUAGAAGUAAUAAUAUUGUAUGUUUUUAU
rnacentral:lncRNA from 1 species